CAUGUAGGCGGCUUAAUAAGUCGAGCGUGAAAAUGCGGGGCUCAACCCCGUAUGGCGCUGGAAACUGUUAGGCUUGAGUGCAGGAGAGGAAAGGGGAAUUCCCAGUGUAGCGGUGAAAUGCGUAGAUAUUGGGAGGAACACCAGUGGCGAAGGCGCCUUUCUGGACUGUGCCUGACGCUGAGAUGCGAAAGCCAGGGUAGCGAACG
rnacentral:rRNA from 1 species